rnacentral:rRNA from 1 species
GGGCUCACACAAGCGGUGGAGCAUGUGGUUCAAUUCGAAGCAACGCGCAGAACCUUACCUGGGCUUGACAUGCCAGGAUUAUCCCUAUGAAAGUAGGGUAGGCCCUUCGGGGUACAACUGGUACAGGUGCUGCAUGGCUGUCGUCAGCUCGUGUCGUGAGAUGUCGGGUUAAGUCCCUUAACGAGCGAAACCUUUGCCCUUAGUUACCAGCGGGUUAUGCCGGGGACUCUAAGGGGACUGCCGGUGUCAAACCGGAGGAAGGUGGAGAUGACGUCAAGUCCUCAUGGCCUUUAUGCCCAGGGCUACACACGUGCUACAAUGGGAUGCACAGAGCGAACCGAGAGCGCAAGCUGGAGGAAAUCGCAUAAAUCAUCCCUCAGUUCAGAUCGGAGGCUGCAACUCGCCUCCGUGAAGUUGGAAUCGCUAGUAAUCGCGGAUCAGCUACGCCGCGGUGAAUGUGUUCCUGAGCCUU